rnacentral:misc_RNA from 1 species
GAUGAAGAACGCAGCGAAAUGCGAUAAGUAAUGUGAAUUGCAGAAUUCAGUGAAUCAUCGAAUCUUUGAACGCACAUUGCGCCCGCCAGUAUUCUGGCGGGCAUGCCUGUUCGAGCGUCAUUACAACCCUCAGGCCCCCGGGCUUGGCGUUGGGGAUCGGCAGAAGCCCCCUGUGGGCGCACGCCGUCCCUCAAAUACAGUGGCGGUCCCGCCGCAGCUUCCAUUGCGUAGUAGCUAACACCUCGCAACUGGAGAGCGGCGCGGCCAUGCCGUAAAACACCCAACUUCUGAAUGUUGACCUCGAAUCGGGUAGGAAUACCCGCUGAACUUAAGCAUAUCAAUAAGCGGAGGA